rnacentral:rRNA from 1 species
GGAGAGAUUCUGGGGUGCCCGAAAGGGAGCCGCAACACAGGUGCUGCAUGGCUGUCGUCAGCUCGUGUCGUGAGAUGUUGAGUUAAGUCCCGCAACGAGCGCAACCCUUACCAUUAGUUGCUACAUUUAGUUGGGCACUCUACUGGGACUGCCGGUGACAAGCCGGAGGAAGGUGGGGAUGACGUCAAGUCCUCAUGGCCCUUAUGAGUAGGGCUUCACACGUCAUACAAUGGCCGGUACAGAGGGCUGCCAAGGCGCGAGCCGGAGCCAAUCCCACAAAGCCGGUCGUAGUCCGGAUUGUUCUCUGCAACUCGAGAGCAUGAAGUCGGAAUCGCUAGUAAUCGCGGAUCAGCACGCCGCGGUGAAUACGUUCCCGGGCCUUGUACACACCGCCCGUCACAUCACGAAAGCCGG